rnacentral:rRNA from 1 species
GAUGAACGCUGGCGGCGUGCCUAAUACAUGCCAGUCGAGCGAACGGACGAGAAGCUUGCUUCUCUGAUGUUAGCGGCGGACGGGUGAGUAACACGUGGAUAACCUACCUAUAAGACUGGGAUAACUUCGGGAAACCGGAGCUAAUACCGGAUAAUAUUUUGAACCGCAUGGUUCAAAAGUGAAAGACGGUCUUGCUGUCACUUAUAGAUGGAUCCGCGCUGCAUUAGCUAGUUGGUAAGGUAACGGCUUACCAAGGCAACGAUGCAUAGCCGACCUGAGAGGGUGAUCGGCCACACUGGAACUGAGACACGGUCCAGACUCCUACGGGAGGCAGCAGUAGGGAAUCUUCCGCAAUGGGCGAAAGCCUGACGGAUCAACGCCGCGUGAGUGAUGAAGGUCUUCGGAUCGUAAAACUCUGUUAUUAGGGAAGAACAUAUGUGUAAGUAACUGUGCACAUCUUGACGGUACCUAAUCAGAAAGCCACGGCUAACUACGUG